rnacentral:sRNA from 1 species
GCUGGGCACGGUGGCGCAUGCCUAUAAUCCCAGAAACUUGGGAGGCUGAGGCAGGAGGAUCACGAGUUCAAAGCCAGCCUCAGCAAUUUAGUGAGGCGCUAAGCAACUCAGCGAGAUCCUGUCUGUA